UACAGAGGGGGCAAGCGUUUGUUCGGAAUUACUGGGCGUAAAGGGCGCGUAGGCGGCCUUCUAAGUCGAACGUGAAAUCCCCGGGCUCAACCCGGGAACUGCGUCCGAUACUGGAAGGCUUGAAUUCGGGAGAGGGAUGCGGAAUUCCAGGUGUAGCGGUGAAAUGCGUAGAUAUCUGGAGGAACACCGGUGGCGAAGGCGGCAUCCUGGACCGGCAUUGACGCGUGAGGCGCGAA
rnacentral:rRNA from 1 species